rnacentral:rRNA from 1 species
GACGAACGCUGGCGGCGUGCUUAACACAUGCAAGUCGAACGGAAAGGCCCUGCUUUUGUGGGGUGCUCGAGUGGCGAACGGGUGAGUAACACGUGAGUAACCUGCCCUUGUCUUUGGGAUAACUUCAGGAAACUGGGGCUAAUACCGGAUAGGAGCUCCUGCUGCAUGGUGGGGGUUGGAAAGUUUCGGCGGUUGGGGAUGGACUCGCGGCUUAUCAGCUUGUUGGGGGGGUAGUGGCUUACCAAGGCUUUGACGGCUAGCCGGCCUGAGAGGGUUACCGGCCACAUUGGGACUAAGAUAGGGCGCAGACUGCUACGGUAGGCAGCAGUGGGGAAUAUUGCACAAUGGGCGGACGUCUGAUGCAGCAACGCCGCGUGCGGGAUGACGGCCUUUGGGUUGUAAACCGAUUUCGAAUGUGACGAAGCGUGAGUGACGGUAAUGGGUAAAGAAGCACCGGCUAACUACGUG